GAAAUGCGAUAAGUAAUGUGAAUUGCAGAAUUCAGUGAAUCAUCGAAUCUUUGAACGCACCUUGCGCUCCUUGGUAUUCCUUGGAGCAUGCCUGUUUGAGUAUCAUGAAAUCUUCAAAGUAAAUCUUUUGUUAACUCAAUUGGUUUCUACUUUGGUAUUGGAGGUCUUUGCAGCUUCACACCUGCUCCUCUUUGUUCAUUAGCUGGAUCUCAGUGUUAUGCUUGGUUCCACUCGGCGUGCUAAGUUAUCUAUCGCUGAGGACACUGUAAAAGGUGGCCAAGGUAAAUGCAGAUGAACCGCUUCUAAUAGUCCAUUGACUUGGACAAUACUUUUAUGAUCUGAUCUCAAAUCAGGUAGGACUACCCGCUGAACUUAAGC
rnacentral:misc_RNA from 1 species